rnacentral:lncRNA from 1 species
UUUACUUAAAUAAUGUUAAAGGGGAGCUUUAUAUCACUACCAUGGACAACCAACUUUAUCUACCAUAAGUAGAAAUUAACUAAAAAUCUGUUUAAAAUGCAAAUAAAAGCAAAUGCUACCAAAGCCAGGCUAGAUUCUUCUACCAACCAAAAAUUCGGUCCCCUAUUCGAUACUGAUUUAAAAGGGGUAUUAACACAUGUUGGCUAUUAAAGACCCUCCAGCAGCAGCGUGAGCCUUUCCCACCAGAGUGUCUGAACCGGAACUGAAAUCGGAAACGGAAUACCGUUCCACGUGAUUCGGCAGCACUGAAGGCAGCACCCGGGAACUUCUGAUACCAAACUCCGCGAACAGUGACGCAGACCCCACGCUUGCAGACCACACGCUUCCGUACAGACCUCAGCUGCCAGGCGCACUGUGAGCCCCACAGGUGGACCACCGUGACUGUAGAGGCGCUACACGGCCCCACGCACUCCGCAGACGCAGCGUCGCAACCUCGGCAGCCCACCCCACCCCACCCCACUCAACCGGGCCCGCCGCGGCGCCCAGGCGGCAGGCAGCAAGGACAGCCUUGUGCGAGCCCGAUCUGGGCCUUCCUGGGCGCGGCUACCGCAAGAGCUUAACGGAUCAGCUACCUGGGGCUCUCCCGUAGGAUCAGCGCCGCGGGGACCGCCAUCUUCGGCUUUCUCGCACUGCCGCCGUCUGUUAGCUGCGCCGAACCCAGCCAAUGGCGGCCGCGGCGGACGGAAAGCCGGAAGGCCCAAGCCGCGCAGGGGCCGUUUUAGGGCUCCGGGUCUCCUGCGACCCGGGCGCCGGGAGACUUGUCCCGCAGUCCUGGAGGGCGGAGAGGGCAGCCCAGUUGCCCUCCCGACACUCCAAUCGUGUUGGAGUUAAGUCUGUGCAUAUAUAUGUCUUUAUAUUUAUAUAUUAUAUAUGUAUGUACAUACCUGGAUAGGGGUGUGUGUCUGUAUUUAAUAGGGCAGGUUUAAGCAAGUCUAUGUACAGACCUGUAUAGAUAUAUGUGUGUAUGUUCGUGCAUAAAUAUAUACAUUAUUAUUUUUAAUAGGGCAGGUUUAAGCAAGCCCGUGUAUACAUACUUGGAUAAAUGGUGUGUGCGUGUGUAUAUUUUUUUAAUAGGGCGGGUUUAAGUGAGCCUGUGUGUACAUACUUGGAUAGGUGAUUUGUGAGUAUUUUUUUUUCCAGCGUUUGGGCUACAGAGAGGCAGGCAUUUGAGCGAGCUCCCCCGAGCCUGCCCAGGAAGCGGCGCAUCACCCCUCAGGAGAGGUGGUGCCUCCAGUUCCACCCUAAGCACUGUGCCGUCAACCCCUCCUGUAUCUGCAUCUGCAGGGCUUGUAGUAUGUACGUUCAAUUCCUUCAGCAACGUUCAAUGAAUGAGUGCCUACUGUGUACCAAGCACUGUUCUAGGCACUGGAGAUACAAAAGGCCAAAAUUCCUGCCCUCAGGGUUUGCCGGCAGUCUAAAUGGACAAGUAUUUGUUGCACCCUUCUUUAGAGUCUGACAGUGCAGAGUAGGGGAGAUGAAUCGCUGCAGUGAGUGAUGUCAAAGACCUCACCCAAGACUAGGGAGACACCAUGUUUGCAUAAAUACCUUGGUCUGCCUUUGAGAAAAACAUGGAGUGAGUUAAAGGAAUUCAGAUGUGGGAGCAGUGAAAGGCAUCCGAGGUAAGAUCAGGAAAAGCUCCCUAGGGCAGGUGGCAAAUGCGGUGGGUCUGCAGAGAUGUGGAGGGUGAGGCUGUGUGUUUCAGGUCAGUAGAGUAGAAGGGCGGUUUGACGUUUGAAGAACAGGAAUUUAGACUAGAAAAAGCCUUUAAUGACUGGUUGUGGCAUGUGCACUUAAUCUGGUGAGAAAUGGGUAAGCAUUAAAUGUUUUUUCUAUCCAUUAAAUGUUUUGAACCAAAGAAAUUUUGCAGUGGGAGUUGGAUUUUUGAAGGUUGCUGUCAGCAGAAUGAUGAUUGAAAUGGAAAGAGGUAAGCAGGAGAGCUACCUGGAAACUACUGCAAUAAUCUAUAGAAAGCAGUAAAAUCCUGUGGUACUAAAAAGGCAUUGGUGAAUUAAAAGAUAGUGGAUGGAUUAGUUACGUUUCAGCAGUAGAAUAUUCAAGAGCUGCCAAAAAAUUGAAUUUAAUUUUCCUUCCUAAUUAUGUUUUACUUAAAUUAUUAUUUAAAUUAGUUGGAGUUCCUGGAGCAGCCCAAGAACAACCUAACUGAAAGGAGAAACCAGAUUGCACAUUAAAUCUGAAUAAUCUCCACAUGGAUAAUUGAGUCAAUUAUACAGUGUGUUGAACACAUACAAAUACAUUUAGUUCCACAACACUCUACAGUCCCCAAUGUAUGCAUAUCUGAAAAAGAUGUAUGUGAAUCUACAUAAAUUAUAGGUCUCUGAUCCAAACACAGAUGACCUCAUCUGCAACUUAAAAGGGUCCCAGUUCCCUCAUUCUUUGAAUCAUUUCCCUUUUGUCUUGAUUCCUUACCUGAAGUAGAACCACUAACCAACUAAAACUGUUUCAAAUCCCUAAUGAAGUUCACCCUCUGAUUGCCUUAAAAAUAUAUAGCCAGAAUUUUGAGCAAAAGAGCAUCAAGAUGGCUCAAAUCCCAAAUCCAUGUAACCUUGGACAAAGUACUUAACCUCAACAAGUUUCUCAUUCCCAAUCUGUAAUGGGGAUGAGAAUAAUGUCUGCUCCCUUGGAUCUUAAUGAGAUUUAAAUAAUGUGGUACGUAUGUAAAAGAAACAUUCUACCCUCCUUAGAAAACAAAACCCAGACCUCUUAGGUGUUCACAAAAGCAAGUCUCCAGUGGACACAGAGGCGACUCACUCUAAUGCUCUUCAUUUUCAAUGAUGGGCUGAUUACUUCUUAUUACCAUGUUUCUAUAAAGGCGUGAUGCUGUGAAUAGUUUCACACCUCAAAUGAGAACCUCACCCAAGAUAUUUCUGCAUUCUCUGGAAUAUAGACAUCUAUGUCCAUGAAAAGUCCUUUUAGUUGUCUGCUAUUAUUGUGUGGGAGUCUUAAGUCUCUUCGUAGGUCUCUAAGAACUUGCUUUAGAAUCUGGGUGCUCCUAUAUUGGGUGCAUAUAUAUUUAGGAUAGUUAGCUCUUCUUGUUGCAUUGAUCCCUUUACCAUUAUGUAAUGCCCUUCUUUGUCUUUUUUGAUCUUUGUUGGUUUAAAGUCUGUUUUGCUAGAAACUAGGAUUGCAACCCCGGCUUCUUUUUGCUUCCCAUUUGCUUGGUAAAUAUUUCUCCAUCCCUUUAUUUUGAGCCUAUGUGUUUCUUUGCACACAAGAUGGGUCUCCUGAAUACAGCACACCAAUGGGUCUUGAUUCUUUAUCCAAUUUGCCAGUCUGUGUAUUUUAAUUGGCGCAUUUAGCCCAUUUACGUUUAAGGUUAAUAUUAUGUGUGAAUUUGAUCCUGUCAUAUGAUACUAGCUGGCUAUUUUGCCCAUUAGUUGAUGUAGUUUCUUCAUAGUGUCAAU